rnacentral:lncRNA from 1 species
UCAGUUUACCUCAUUCAACCUUCACUGCAAUCAAGGAGGAAGCUUUAUCAUCCCUAUCUGACAGAACUGAGGACAUGGCUGAAGGAGAUUAAAAGCACAUUUGGAAAUACCGCUUUAGAUACUCUACAAGUUAACCUUGGAAUAAACCAGACUAUCAGAGGGCAUUGUCACUCACUGACGGAUUUCUUUCAUUCCUCUCUGCUUUGGCAUUAGGCAGUCAGCCACAUCAAGAGACUUCAUAAGAAACAGCCCUGUAACUCAUUUGUUGCUUUCCUGUAAGAAUGUUGUCAAGGACAUUAUUUACUUCAUUACAAAGGGUCUUCUUUGUGCUGGAGAAACUUCUCUCAGAUCUCUGUGCCAGGAAGAAUGGUGUUUCUCUCAAACACUGGGUUUGAUAUUACAGAUAGUAUAAACUAUAUAUCCAGGCACAUCCUCCUUUAGUGAGUAUAUACAAACUGGCUUCACUUCAUUUUUUUCAUCUUCCAACUUCUCCAUAAUAAUAUUUACUUUUAAAAAUGUUCUUAACAAUGAAUAUGACCAAGACAAUUUGAGGAAACCAAUCAUAAACUUUGUGUCAAUAUAGUAAGCAUGUUUCCUGCAGGGAGAUACCACUGUUCCCACUAAAAUAGAACACAACAAAAGGAGGCAGGAGAGAAAUGAAUGACUUAGGACCUGUCUAGGUUGAAAAGGCAAACUAGAAGUGGGGCACACCUAACUUGUUUAAAAAGACUUUGUCAACUAUUAUUUGUGUACUCUUGGCAUUUCUGUGUUCUCCUCAUUCCUAUUUCAUUCCUAUUCCCCUUUAAUAUUUCCUUUACAUACCUGAUACCUUCCCUCCCAAAAAUGGUGUGUGUCUAUGUAGUUCCUUGAUGAUUUUGUCAACGAAUAAUAAACCCUGGGUUUUGGAUAAGGAGGUGAAAAGAAAGGGCUCUGCUUGAUUCUG